rnacentral:rRNA from 1 species
GACGAGCCUCACAAACGUUAUUCGGAAUCACUGGGCUUAAAGGGUGCGUAGGCGGUGUGGAAAGUCGGAUGUGAAAUACCUCAGCUUAACUGAGGAACUGCACUCGAUACUUCCAUGCUAGAGUAAGACAGAGGUGAGUGGAACUGAGGGUGGAGCGGUGAAAUGCGUUGAUAUCCUCAGGAACACCGGUGGCGAAGGCGACUCACUGGGUCUUACUGACGCUGAUGCACGAAAGCUAGGGUAGCAAACGGG